UACGAAGGAUGCAAGCGUUAUCCGGAUUCAUUGGGUUUAAAGGGAGCGUAGGCGGCCUUGUAAGUCAGUGGUGAAAUCUUCCCGCUUAACGGGAAAACUGCCAUUGAUACUGCUUGGCUAGAGUACAGAUGCUGUGGGCGGAAUAUGACAUGUAGUGGUGAAAUACAUAGAGAUGUCAUAGAACACCGAUUGCGAAGGCAGCUCACAAAACUGUAACUGACGCUGAGGCUCGAAAGUGUGGGGAUCAAACAGG
rnacentral:rRNA from 1 species